AUUGAACGCUGGCGGCAUGCCUUACACAUGCAAGUCGAACGGUAGCAGGUUAAGCUGACGAGUGGCGAACGGGUGAGUAAUGUAUCGGAACGUGCCCAGUCGUGGGGGAUAACUACUUGAAAGAAUGGCUAAUACCGCAUACGACCUGAGGGUGAAAGCGGGGGACCGUAAGGCCUCGCGCGAUUGGAGCGGCCGAUAUCAGAUUAGCUAGUUGGUGGGGUAAAAGCCCACCAAGGCGACGGUCUGUAGCUGGUCUGAGAGGACGACCAGCCACACUGGGACUGAGACACGGCCCAGACUCCUACGGGAGGCAGCAGUGGGGAAUUUUGGACAAUGGACGCAAGUCUGAUCCAGCCAUGCCGCGUGCGGGAAGAAGGCCUUCGGGUUGUAAACCGCUUUUGUCAGGGAAGAAACGAGUUUCUCUAAUACAGAGACUUAAUGACGGUACCUGAAGAAUAAGCACCGGCUAACUACGUGCCAGCCGCCGCCGUAACAC
rnacentral:rRNA from 1 species